GAUGAACGCUGGCGGCGUGCUUAACACAUGCCAGUCGAGCGGACGGGCCCUGCUUUUGUUUGUUGCACGUUUGCCGCGGACGGGAGUAACACGUGUGGAUCCUCCCCCUGUCUUUCGGAUAUAUCUUGGAGAAUCCGGCUCUAACCCCAUAGAAUCUCUUGAUCCACGUUGUUCAUAAGUGAAUGUCGGUCUUGCCGUCUGUUGUCGCUGGAUGCGCGCUUUAUUAGCGGGUUGUUGGGGUAGUGGCUUACCACGGCUAUGACGGGUAGCCGGCCUGAGAGGGUGACCGGCCACAUUGGGACUGAGAGACGGCCCAGACUCCUACGGGAGGCAGCAGUGGAGAAUAUUGCACAAUGGGCGGAAGCCUGAUGCAGCAACGCCGCGUGCGGGAUGACGGCCUUCGGGUUGUAAACCGCUUUCGCCUGUGACGAAGCGUGAGUGACGGUAAUGGGUAAAGAAGCACCGGCUAACUACGUG
rnacentral:rRNA from 1 species